rnacentral:rRNA from 1 species
GUACAAUUUAAAUCCCUUAACGAGGAACAAUUGGAGGGCAAGUCUGGUGCCAGCAGCCGCGGUAAUUCCAGCUCCAAUAGCGUAUAUUAAAGUUGUUGUGGUUAAAAAGCUCGUAGUUGAACCUUGGGCCUGGCUGGCCGGUCCGCCUCACCGCGUGUACUGGUCCGGCCGGGCCUUUCCCUCUGUGGAACCCCAUGCCCUUCACUGGGUGUGGCGGGGAAACAGGACUUUUACUGUGAAAAAAUUAGAGUGCUCCAGGCAGGCCUAU